rnacentral:rRNA from 1 species
UCCCCUCACAUACUCUGAGACGUGAUACCGAGCCGCUUCAGGCGAAGUCAUUAAUCCUAUGCUGCCUAGAAAAGCCCAGUAGCGAGUUGACAUGGUGCCCGUACCCCAAACCAACACAGGUGGACAGGUAGAGCAUACCAAGGCGAGUGGGAUAACUAUGGUUAAGGAACUCGGCAAAUUUCCUCCGUAACUUCGGGAUAAGGAGGACCCCAGUAGCGUGACGAGACUUGCUCUCCGAGCGUGAAGGGGUGGCACAAAAUUGAGGGAAGCGACUGUUUACCAAAAACACAGCAGCGUGCUAAGCCGUAAGGCGCUGUAUACGCUGUGACUCCUGCCCGGUGCUGGAAGGUUACGGGGAUGGGUUAGUCCUUCGGGACGAAGCUCUGAACCUAAGCCCCAGUAAACGGCGGCCGUAACUAUAACGGUCCUAAGGUAGCGAAAUUCCUUGUCGGGUAAGUUCCGGCCUGCACGAAUGGAGUAACGACUUCCCUACUGUCUCAACCAUAGACCCAGCGAAAUUGAAGUACGAGUAAAGAUGCUCGUUAGCUGCAGAAGGACGGAAAGACCCCGUGGACCUUUACUAUAACUUGAUGUUGUGUUUUGUCAUAUGUUGUGUAGGAUAGGUGGGAGACAAGGAAGCAUGGACGCUAGUCUGUGUGGAGUCAUCGUUGAAAUACCACCCUGCAUAUGGUGAGGCUCUAACCUAGACCCGUUAUCCGGGUUGGGGACAGCGUCAGGCGGGUAGUUUAACUGGGGCGGUUGCCUCCUAAAGAGUAACGGAGGCGCCCAAAGGUUCCCUCAGCCUGGUUGGCAAUCAGGCGUCGAGUGCAAUGGCAAAAGGGAGCUUGACUGCGAGACCUACAAGUCGAGCAGGAGCGAAAGCUGGGCAUAGUGAUCCGGCGGUUGCGUGUGGAAGCGCCGUCGCUCAACGGAUAAAAGGUACCCCGGGGAUAACAGGCUAAUCUUGCCCAAGCGUCCAUAGCGACGGCAAGGUUUGGCACCUCGAUGUCGGCUCAUCGCAUCCUGGGGCUGAAGCAGGUCCCAAGGGUUGGGCUGUUCGCCCAUUAAAGCGGUACGCGAGCUGGGUUCAGAACGUCGUGAGACAGUUCGGUCCCUAUCCUCUGUAGCCGUAGGUGAAUUGAGGAAAGCUGUCCCUAGUACGAGAGGACCGGGACGGACGCAGCUCUCGUGUGCCAGUUGUCCUGCCAAGGGCAUGGCUGGUUAGCGACCUGCGGAAAGGAUAACCGCUGAAAGCAUCUAAGCGGGAAGCCUCUUCCGAGAUGAAUUCACCCACAGGGUUAACCUGGUAAGGCCCGUGGUAGACCACCACGUUGAUAGGCCGGAAGUGUAAGCGUGGCAACACGUUCAGCUGACCGGUACUAAUCGGCCGAGGGCUUGAACC